GGAGGCUACCCCUUGAAUGAACUUGCAGAGUCAGCCCAUCUGUCUCAGUUACUUUGCAAAAGAUGCUGGCUUUCAUCUCAGAUGAAUUCUACAUUGCUGGCUUUAAGCUACAGGUGGAUGAAUCACUUCUAGAAGCAGAAGAAACAAAAGGACAGCAAAUCUUAAGAUUCGAUCCAUUCCAUGAAUAUUUUUCCCAAGCAGAAAUGUAAAUAUUUUGUUUCUAGCAGAUAAAAAUGAAGAGCUGCGGCUGUGGUUCAGAACCACUCUUCCAGCACUACGGGCUAAAUACCUACAGAGACAGUGCAGGACUUCCUAACGGCCCUUCAAGUGUGAGAAGCUGUCCGAUAGGAUGAAGUCAGACUGUCAUAAAUAGAUGCUGAGUGCUGUAAUGUGACAGAUCAGGUCAAACAUUUUUAUUUUGUCAGUUUGAAUGAUAUUGCAGACCUGAAGGCUUCCGACUGGCUGAGUUUUAAUCACUGAGGUAAUCUUCCGUGUGCGUUUCUUUGCAACACUGCGUUGGAAAUUGCAUGGCACUGAGCACAGGCUGUUACCAAUUCCAUUUAUGAGAAAAACCUCUGCCUAAUUUUAGUGCAUAGUGGCUUACCAGAGACAUGAGAUGUAAGUUUGACUUCAGAUUCAUGCCAUGUGCUGAAAUCACUAAGCCUUGGGAAUUAGGCAAAUUCAGUGAGGUUUAAGGACUCAGCUUGUGGCUGACACUUGAAUGGAACACACAAGCAGAGUUAUACUCCCUGAAUUUUGGAUAUAGCAAGGAGGAUUGUGAAAGUUUCCUUGCCAUGAGGGUGUAGGGUAGUCAGUGACUGCACUAUUGUACUAGUUAUCUCACUGUGUGAGGAGGACUAAUAAGGGCACAGCAAUUAUGAAAACACAAGGGUGAAGUACCUAAGUACACUCCUGAGUCUAAAGUGUGGGAUACUUUGUGGCCCAUGGCAGGAUCAAUCUUCUAAUGCUCACUGAAUACUAAAUUUAAAUGAGCAGGAGUUAUUCUUCAGAAAGUCUUCUUUUCAGAUUGCUAAAAUACAUUGUUUGGAGUGGUCUUAAUAGAGUCAGAAAAUAGUUCAGUUGCUAAAUUAACAUUAUGACUCAGUACAUUACCUCAGACACUGACAUGAUAGGAAUAAGAGAAGGAAGUACUUUGACGCAUGAUAUGGAGUUGCACUAAGAAGUACAAGAGAUCAAUGGACUCAGAAGACAUAAACUUACGUGUUUGCUUUUAAAACCUUGUGAGAUCUGAAGAGGAAAAAUGUUUUGGUUGUUGUUCUUUACUGACACUCUUGUCUAUUUUAUUUUGGAAAAGGGGCU